ncrna:unclassified sequences Actinomyces-1 RNA
UCUACCGCUGGACGGAUCCGGUCGCGAGGGUUGGGGAGCCCAAUGACCGAUCGGCUUUCGAGGUCGCCCGGGUUGAUAGGGAGCCCGACGUGAACCGCUCCAGCGAAGGAG